rnacentral:tRNA from 11 species
GCGGGCGUAGCUCAAUGGUAGAGUACCAGCUUCCCAAGCUGGGUGUUGUGGGUUCGAGUCCCAUCGCCCGCUCCA